rnacentral:rRNA from 1 species
AACGAACGCUGGCGGCGUGCCUAACACAUGCAAGUCGAGCGCGAAAAGGGUAACCUGAGUAGAGCGGCGCACGGGUGCGUAACACGUGGGUAAUCUGCCUUAGAGUCGAGGAUAACCUUCCGAAAGGUUGGCUAAUACUCGGUAAGCUUACGGUGUCUUCGGACGCUGUGGGAAAAGUAGGCCUCUGUUUACAAGCUUACGCUCUGAGAUGAGCCCGCGGCCCAUCAGCUAGUUGGCGGGGUAACGGCCCACCAAGGCAACGACGGGUAGCUGGGCUGAGAGGACGAUCAGCCACACUGGAACUGAGACACGGUCCAGACUCCUACGGGAGGCAGCAGUGGGGAAUUUUCCACAAUGGGCGAAAGCCUGAUGGAGCAACGCCGCGUGUGUGAUGAAGGUUUUCGGAUCGUAAAGCACUUUCGACCGGGACGAAAAACCUCUGGCUAACAUCCAGGGGCCUGACGGUACCGGGAGAAGAAGCACCGGCUAACUCUGUGCCAGCCGCCGCAGUAAAAC